AACGCUGGCGGCGUGCCUAACACAUGCAAGUCGAACGCGAGAGGGGCUUCGGCCCUGAUUGAGUGGCAAACGGGUGAGUAACGCGUGGGUGACCUACCUUCGAGUGGGGGAUAACGUUUCGAAAGGAACGCUAAUACCGCAUGACAUCCUGCCUUUGGACAGGCGGAGAUCAAAGCCGGGGAUCGCAAGACCUGGCGCUUGGAGAGGGGCCCGCGUCCGAUUAGCUAGUUGGUGGGGUAACGGCUCACCAAGGCUUCGAUCGGUAGCCGGCCUGAGAGGGCGGACGGCCACACUGGGACUGAGACACGGCCCAGACUCCUACGGGAGGCAGCAGUGGGGAAUUGUUCGCAAUGGGCGCAAGCCUGACGACGCAACGCCGCGUGGAGGAUGAAGGUCUUCGGAUUGUAAACUCCUGUUGAUCGGGACGAACAUCCCUUGGGAUAACACCCUGAGGGACUGACGGUACCGGUUGAGGAAGCCCCGG
rnacentral:rRNA from 1 species